rnacentral:lncRNA from 1 species
CUGCGGUGAGGUUCAGCCAGUCAAUCGCGCACACACACACUAGCUGAAUAUGCAGAGCUAGCGCGCAAAUAUUAACUAUUAAGCUAGCUAGUACCUAUUCCAUUUAUGUGGCGUCGUCAAAGAUGGAAUCUUUGCUAUCGUCAAUGUAUUCCAAGAUCAGCAUGAAGAUGAUGAUGCAGAGCAGGCAACAGAUGGCACACAGACAGCAGAGUUGGGGACAGAUAUGCAGGGACAGACUGGCAGAGACGGAGUCUCAGGUGUCUCCUGUGUUCCCCAUAAGUCCCCGGUUGUCAUGGAUCCCCCCGGUACUGAUGCUUAUUCUGUUCACCAGUUCCUGAGGUCUACGUCACUGGCUUUCUAGGCUUCACUGAACGGGAUUCAUUAUCAUCAACCCCGGACUGUCUUGUCUGAUUACACACACCUGGUUCCCAUUUCACCUGAUUAGUAUGUUAUAUAUGUGCCCUCUGUUCCCUCUGUCUUUGUCGGUUAUUGUUCCCAUGUCCGUUGGUGGUAUGAG